GCUCUUCUACGAAGCGCAGGGCUGACUCGUGGUUAACCAAGCCGUUUGAGACAAAGCUAUGCCGGAGCGGUAAAGCAGCCUGUGCACCAUCAUGCACCGUGGCCGGGAAGGCGUUACCGGAGGAAGGAGCGGCGGGCGGCGGAGGAGAGGUGGCGGCGGCGGGCCGCGGAGGAGGGUACGUGAAGGGGCGGCGGAGGACGGUGGCGACGAGAGACGACCGACAGGUGACUGCGGAGCGGGGGUGGCGGAGAAGGGCGGGGGGGAGACCUCGGGCGCCAGCUGGGAGGGUUCUUCCUACCUCGGAGGAAGAGGCGGCCAAGGCCGCGACCUCCCCGGAUGGCCUGACCUUUCCCUCGACGUAGCCCCCCAGCGGCUAGACCACCGCGCCCCAUGCUCCUCCUCGUCGUCUUCCAGGAGGCGCGCAGCGAAGAGGUGCACGGCUCCUACCCUACCUCGCUCAGCCGGUACUAGCGCCCACGCUCCCUGCACAGGCACAGCGGCCGGUAGCAGCCACGGAAGGGUUCCUUCCUCCGACGCGAUCAACUCAAAAAGUACCUACUGACGGAAGUUGUUGAGUACCUAGCGCAACUACGACCACUCCCUCUCGAAAACUUUUUGAACUACGAGUGACUCUCUGAUAGAUCUGAACAAGCCUACUCCGAACUCUACGUCUGUGGAAUGUAUAGUUUCACCGGAGUUCGCGACUCGUAAGUCAGGGUUGGUCGUUUACAGAGUUGUUCGAAUUUCGUCUCUCGUCAGGAACAACUACUCUAAACCGUACGACGACCUCUAAGACCUAGUCUAUAACUAACCAUACACUUUGCAUGACACGAACCACCGUAGAUGAGUCGGAGUCUCCACAUGUACAAUUGUCUAUUAAGAGGUCUCAAAGUGCUGUGUACCUGUAAACACUUAGCGGCGUAGUUUCUACGAGAACUAAACGUCUUUAGAAUAUUCCUCCAGCGAAUAGAUUGACUUUGGGACCCUCGUCCCUAGCCACCGAGGUAUGUCCCGCAGGACUUGUUCCAAAAGGUCUUUACUUCUUUGAACGGAAACGUCCGACGGAAGAGCUGUAAAGGUGGUGGUGAAUACAGUGCAAUUCUAAUAUACUGGAACAACCGCUUUUUAGACAAAUGCGAUGUCUGAGAUCAGGUACACACCUGGCUCAACGGCGUUUGUCUUGUUUCUGUGAGCGCCGAAACGUACCUGUGCUGAACUGUAAACUUUGAAAUAUAUUCCCAACUCGCGAGCAACCACAAUAACACAAAUUCUACAUAAAAAAAAUUCCCAGUUUGGAAAAACUAAACUGUUUUAAAUCUCUUUAUAUAGUUAAAGGUGUU
rnacentral:rRNA from 1 species